AUGGGCCUUGAAAACUGCAACUGUCUAGGCUCAAGAAACCACUGCAUUUGGUCAAGUUAUGAGAGAAUUAGCCAUGACUCUAGCAAAAUAAUGAUAGCAAGAUUGAAAACAUUGUGGAGGAAGAUCAAAAGAGAGAACAAGAGGAGAAUGUUUAGAUCAUCUUCACAUGUGUUUCUAUAUGAUCCUAGCUCUUACUUACAAAAUUUUGAUGAUGGUGAUUCCAACGAUGAUGAUUUUUCAAGGUCAUUCUCAGUCCGAUUUGCAACACCAUCAUCCUCCAGGAUUUUUAAGAAGAAUAUUGAGGUGAUAUAUGAAGAAGAAAUAGUAGAAACAAAAGAUGAGAACUAG